UAGCAUAAUAACUUGCCUUUUAAUUGGAGGAUCGCAUGAAAGGAGCCACGACUCGCCAAUUUUCUAUAAACUACACAGUGAACCUUACCUAAAAGUAAAAAGGCUUUUAUAUUAAAGAAGGACAACAAGACCCUGACGAACUUCCUCCAUUUAGCUGGGGCAGCUAGUAAGCUAAAACCUUAAAAUUCACCAAUAUACAGACCCGGCCAUACCGAUCAUAAACCAAGUUACCGCAGGGAUAACAGCAUCAUCAGGCCCCAGAGACCCUAUCUAAAGCCUGCCAUUUGACCUCGAUGUUGAAUUAAUGUAAAGCUAUACUUAGAAAAAUAAGUAAAAGCAGGUCUGUUCGACCUUCAAUACAUUACAUGAUUUGAGUUCAGACCGGCGCAAGCCAGGUCAGUUUAUAUCCUCUCCCAAAUAAGUGUUAGUACGAAAGGACCACACAAAAAAUACUA
rnacentral:rRNA from 1 species